GAUGGGGACUUUGAGAACCAACUGAUACUAAACAUUGCAGAAUUCAUUCAAAUGGAGGCAGAGGAACCACAAUUCUCAAGCUCUGAAAGUUCUUCAGUUGAUGGGAGGAUGGCAGUAAUAAGCACUCGGAGUAUACAAUCAAGCUUGAGUUUAAUAGUGUCAGGGCAUGAAGAAAUCGGUACCAGCAACUCCAUCUAUAGCAGCAAAUCUGCCACACUCCAAAGUUUACGAUCUGUGUAUGAGGAUGAGAAUCCACAACUAAGAAGGCGCCAAGUGAGGUUUCAGCUAUCUCCCAGCCCUUCAAUGGACCCUAGAGUUAGGGAAGAAUUAAUAGACUUGAUCCAAGCCAAAGAAGC
rnacentral:misc_RNA from 1 species